rnacentral:rRNA from 1 species
AGUGAACGCUGGCGGUAGGCCUAACACAUGCAAGUCGAACGGCAGCACAGUAAGAGCUUGCUCUUACGGGUGGCGAGUGGCGGACGGGUGAGGAAUACAUCGGAAUCUACUUUUUCGUGGGGGAUAACGUAGGGAAACUUACGCUAAUACCGCAUACGACCUACGGGUGAAAGCAGGGGAUCUUCGGACCUUGCGCGAUUGAAUGAGCCGAUGUCGGAUUAGCUAGUUGGCGGGGUAAAGGCCCACCAAGGCGACGAUCCGUAGCUGGUCUGAGAGGAUGAUCGGCCACACUGGAACGGAGACACGGUCCAGACUCCUACGGGAGGCAGCAGUGGGGAAUAUUGGACAAUGGGCGCAAGCCUGAUCCAGCCAUACCGCGUGUGUGAAGAAGGCCUUCGGGUUGUAAAGCCCUUUUGUUGGGAAAGAAAAGCAGCAGGUUAAUACCCCGCUGUUCUGACGGUACCCAAAGAAUAAGCACCGGCUAACUUCGUG